rnacentral:tRNA from 1 species
GGGCCUGUAGCUCAGUAGCAGAGCACCCGCCUUGCACGCGGGGGGCCGAGGGUGCGAGGCCAUAGCCCCUUUCUUUAGAAAAGAAAGGGGCUGAGUCAUUCCUUGGUUAUACUGAACUGCCGAUGAAUGCGUAGCAUUCAUCCACAAGCGCAUCUCUAAGAAAUAUCUUAGGAUAGCGCGGCUGUUUCGCAUAAGUAUAACAAUGGACGAAAAUCCCUCCGGGUCCA